CUCUGACGUGAUGAGUCAUUAUUACCGCCCCAGUCUGAUGUAAACGCUGACUGAUUGGUUACGCUCUGAUCAAGU
rnacentral:snoRNA from 1 species